rnacentral:rRNA from 1 species
AACGUAGGAGACAAACGUUAUCCGGAGUUACUGGGCGUAAAGGGCGUGUAGGUGGUUCUGUAAGUCUGGCGUGAAAUUUCUCGGCUUAACCGGGAAAGGUCGUCGGAUACUGCAGGGCUAGAGGACGGUAGAGGCGUGUGGAAUUCCGGGUGUAGUGGUGAAAUGCGUAGAGAUCCGGAGGAACACCAGUGGCGAAGGCGACACGCUGGGCCGUACCUGACACUGAUGCGCGACAGCAUGGGGAGCAAACAGG